GAUGAAGAACGUAGCGAAAUGCGAUAAGUAAUGUGAAUUGCAGAAUUCAGUGAAUCAUCGAAUCUUUGAACGCACAUUGCGCCCGCCAGUAUUCUGGCGGGCAUGCCUGUUCGAGCGUCAUUUCAACCAUCAAGCCCCAGGCUUGUGUUGGGGACCUGCGGCUGCCGCAGGCCCUGAAAACCAGUGGCGGGCUCGCUGUCACACCGGGCGUAGUAGAUUUUAUCUCGCUCAGGGCGUGCUGCGGGUUCCGGCCGUUAAAAAGCCUUUUUUACCCAAGGUUGACCUCGGAUCAGGUAGGAAUACCCGCUGAACUUAAGCAUAUCAAAUAAGCGGAGGA
rnacentral:misc_RNA from 1 species